rnacentral:rRNA from 1 species
UGAGGAAUAUUGGGCAAUGGGCGCAAGCCUGACCCAGCCAUGCCGCGUGAAGGAUGAAUGCCCUAUGGGUUGUAAACUUCUUUUGUACGGGACAAAACUCCUGGUCGUGGCCGGGAUUGAUGGUACCGUACGAAUAAGCAUCGGCUAACUCCGUGCCAGCAGCCGCGGUAAUACGGAGGAUGCAAGCGUUAUCCGGAUUCAUUGGGUUUAAAGGGUGCGUAGGCGGAAUAGCAAGUCAGCGGUGAAAGCCUGUGGCUUCACCAUAGCAAUGCCGUUGAUACUGUUAUUCUUGAGUGUAGUUGAAGUGGGCGGAAUGUGUAAUGUAGCGGUGAAAUGCUUAGAUAUUACACAGAACACCAAUUGCGAAGGCAGCUCACUAAGCUAAUACUGACGCUGAGGCACGAAAGCGUGGGGAGCAAACAG